GCCGGAGUGGUGAAAUUGGUAGACGCGCUGGAUUCAAAAUCCGGUGGGCCUUGGCCCGUGUCGGUUCGAGUCCGACCUUCGGCAUCA
rnacentral:tRNA from 1 species